UGCAGUCGACGGUAACAGGAAGAGCUUGCUCUUUGCUGACGAGUGGCGGACGGGUGAGUAACGCGUAGGAAUCUGCCCAUCUGUGGGGGAUACCAGUUGGAAACGACUGUUAAUACCGCAUAAUAUCUGCGGAUUAAAGGUGGCCUUUGUGCUACCGCAGAUGGAUGAGCCUGCGUUAGAUUAGCUUGUUGGUGGGGUAAAGGCCUACCAAGGCUACGAUCUAUAGCUGAUUUGAGAGGAUGAUCAGCCACAUUGGGACUGAGACACGGCCCAAACUCCUACGGGAGGCAGCAGUGGGGAAUAUUGGACAAUGGAGGAAACUCUGAUCCAGCAAUGCCAUGUGUGUGAAGAAGGCUCUAGGGUUGUAAAGCACUUUAGUUGGGGAGGAAAGCUUAUAGGUUAAUAGCCUAUGAGAAGGACGUUACCCAAAGAAUAAGGACCGGCUAACUCCGUGCCAGCAGCCGCGGUAAUACGGGGGGUCCGAGCGUUAAUCGGAAUUACUGGGCGUAAAGGGUCUGUA
rnacentral:rRNA from 1 species